GAUGAAGAACGUAGCGAAAUGCGAUACUUGGUGUGAAUUGCAGAAUCCCGUGAACCAUCGAGUCUUUGAACGCAAGUUGCGCCCGAAGCCACUAGGCCGAGGGCACGCCUGCCUGGGCGUCACACGCCGUUGCCCCCCCAUCUACUCCUUCGGGAUUGCGGGGGGGCGGAUGAUGGCCUCCUGUGCGCCUAGCCGCGCGGUUGGCAUAAAUACCAAGUCCUCGGCGACGCACGCCACGACAAUCGGUGGUUGCGAAACCUCGGUUGCCCGUCGUGUGCGUUCGUCGCGCAUCGAGGGCUCGAAAAAAUGCUCGGCUCCGGCUGGGCUUUCAACGCGACCCCAGGUUAGGCGGGGUUACCCGCUGAAUUUAAGCAUAUCAAUAAGCGGAGGA
rnacentral:misc_RNA from 1 species